GGGCAUAUAGCUCAAGUGGUAGAGCACAUGCUUAGCAUGCAGGAAGCCCUGAGUUCAAUCCCCAGUACCUCCA
rnacentral:tRNA from 1 species